UACGUAGGGGGCAAGCGUUAUCCGGAUUUACUGGGCGUAAAGGGAGCGUAGACGGCAUGGCAAGCCAGAUGUGAAAUACCGGGGCUCAACCCCGGGACUGCAUUUGGAACUGUUAAGCUGGAGUGUCGGAGAGGCAGGCGGAAUUCCUAGUGUAGCGGUGAAAUGCGUAGAUAUUAGGAGGAACACCAGUGGCGAAGGCGGCCUGCUGGACGAUAACUGACGUUGAGGCUCGAAAGCGUGGGGAGCAAACAGG
rnacentral:rRNA from 1 species